GGGGGUGUAAAGGCUUCGACAGACGUCAAUAUUAUUAAAUUUCAGUGGUUUUGUAAACCUAAAUACUUCUAGGCUUUUUAAGCGCAAACAAAAAAAAUUCACAAGCUUUCAUGGUUAAAUCAAUGAUGGCUUCAAAUCCAAUUUACGCAUAUUAAUUUGCAUUGGCGAUCAAUAAAUUUGCUCGGUUUAUUGAAUUCGUAUGAGAGCUUAACUUUAAAAAAAAUUAGUCAUUUUUAAAGCGAAAUUAUUGACUAAUAUGCAUACAAAAUUUGUUGAUUAAUAUGUAUUGCAGAAUUUAUUAAUCAAAUAAACUUGUAAACAUUUAAUAAUAAAAACGUGUGGACCGGGGUUCGAUUCCCCGCAUCUCCACCA
rnacentral:tmRNA from 1 species